rnacentral:lncRNA from 1 species
UGAAAAUUGCCGAACAUUUAUGUAUAUCCAGAUAUGGAAUCAUAUUUAAUCUAUAUGAUUAAGAAUGAAAAAUCGGAAAGUCUGAAUGGAGAAGAAUUGAACCGAGUGGAAAAAAAUUCCUUUAUCCUAUCCCGAUCUCCGCUACGCUUUUCGUGUGGCUUGACUGCGGUUAGGCCAAUAUUUGCCAGAAAACUACCCAGAGAUGGACAUUAUUAUUUCUUAGGAAAGAGACCAACUUGUUAAGUACGAUGCGCCUGUACAUAUUUUAAACAAAUCUGAGCUAAACUGAUAAUAGGAAAAAGAUUUUGCUAAGAAAACAUCUGCCUAUUAUCAGUUUGGUCCAAAUUCGUUUAAAAUAUUCGUAUAUGAAAAAUUUGCGCCGUCUUAAGAAAGCAUUACAACAGGGGUAACCAAACUCGGUGUCAUUAACGGCCGUAUAGAAGAAUCUCGUCUACUCGACAGCCGCCAUCGAUUUCUUUCUGGGUGUAUAAGAGCCGCAUCAGAUUUUUCGAAUAAUUUUAACCGUGUUUUCAAAAAAUUGUUUAUUAUAUAUUUCACACGCAUUUAUUUCGUAUAGAUGCCUACUAAUUUUUAUCAUCGAC